rnacentral:rRNA from 1 species
AACGAACGCUGGCGGCAUGCCUAACACAUGCAAGUCGAACGAGACCUUCGGGUCUAGUCGCGCACGGGUGCGUAACGCGUGGGAAGCUGCCCUUAGGUUCGGAAUAACUCCCCGAAAGGGGUGCUAAUACCGGAUAAUGUCUUCGGACCAAAGAUUUAUUGCCUUUGGAUGGGCACGCGUUGGAUUAGCUAGUUGGUAGGGUAAAAGCCUACCAAGGCGACGAUCCAUAGCUGGUCUGUGAGGAUGAUCACCAACACUGGGACUAAGACACGGCCCAGACUCCUACGGGAGGCAGCAGUGGGGAAUAUUGCACAAUGGGCGGAAGCCUGAUCCAGCAAUGCCGCGUGAGUGAUGAAGGCCUUAGGGUUGUAAAGCUCUUUUACCCGGGAUGAUAAUGACAGUACCGGGAGAAUAAGCUCCGGCUAACUCCGUG